rnacentral:tRNA from 1 species
GGAGGGGUAGCAAAGCCUGGUCAAAUGCGCAGGACUCAGAAUCCUGUCACUUAGGUGUUCGUGGGUUCAAAUCCCUCCCCUUCCA